GUGAGGAAUAUUGCGCAAUGGACGAAAGUCUGACGCAGCCAUGCCGCGUGAAGGAUUGACGGCCCUAUGGGUUGUAAACUUCUUUUGUAUAGGAAUAAACCCUCGUUCGUGAACGAGGCUGAAGGUACUAUAAGAAUAAGCACCGGCUAACUCCGUGCCAGCAGCCGCGGUAAUACGGAGGGUGCAAGCGUUAUCCGGAUUUAUUGGUUUUAAAGGGUCCGUAGGCGGAUCGUUAAGUCAGUGGUGAAAUCCUACCGCUCAACGGUAGAACUGCCAUUGAUACUGGCGAUCUUGAGUAUGUAUGAAGUUGGCGGAAUGUGUGGUGUAGCGGUGAAAUGCUUAGAUAUCACACAGAACACCGAUUGCGAAGGCAGCUGACUAAUACACAACUGACGCUGAGGGACGAAAGUGUGGGGAUCAAACAGGAUUAGAAACCCGUGUAGUCC
rnacentral:rRNA from 1 species